GGAUUCUUCCUAAUACGAAAGAAAGUCUCAUACCAAAAGAGGGCAGAGAGAAGAAAGCUGAAGACAAAAGGAAUUUAGUGCCUGAUCCAGGUCUCCAGAGAAAGAGAACUUUAAUGUGAGAUGUGCACUUGAGAGGCAGAGGCAGGGUUGGGAGUUCAAACUCAGCUACAGCUACAUAGCAAAUUUGAGGUCAGCCUGAGCUACAUGAGACCCUCUCUCAAUGAAAAAAAAAAAGGAGUCUAAAUUCAUUUGGAAUAAAGUUCAGUUACGAAUAUAGCUAAAACAUUUUACACUUUAAGUUUGCCGUCCCUAAAAUAUUGAUGUAAGAGGAUUGAUUCGCUGUUGGGUAUUUAAGGUUACACGCGCCCUUUUCUCUGGAUUUCUUCCUCAGGAUUCCUGGGAUGGCCAGCACGUUCCUGUGCUUUUCUCUGUCUUCUGUGGUUUGUUGGUGGCAGUGUCCUAUCACCUCAGCCGACAGAGCAGUGACCCGUCUGUGCUCUUGUAAGUGAAUCCACUCCUGCUGUGGGACAUUUAAGUUGGCAUUUCUCAUAGUCCAGGCAGCUCCUUCCCUAGUUCCUGUCAAGUGUUUUGUCCUGCUCUGUCUGUGUUGAAAAUACAUUAACUUUGAGUCAUGCUGAUUUUGUUAGCUGAAAUGUAUGUUGUUAAAGAUUCCAUUUUUACUUUUUUAUUGUGUGUCUGCUUGGUGUGUGUGUGUGUGUGUGAAUUUCAAGCUUCAUAUGUAUUUUCUGCUAAAAUACCUUUAUUUUUUUCAAAUAAAGCUCUUUGAUGCAAUCCAAGAUUUUUCCCAAAGCUGACGAGAAGAACCCAGAAGACCCUCUGUCUGAGGUGAAAGACCCUCUCCCAGAGAAGCUCAGCAACUCUGUUGUAAGUGUGGCUCUGUGAGCCAUGGCCGCGGCGGGUGGUGGUGUUAUACGACAAGUACUUUUCAAAGUCUUUAGUAAUUGGACAAAAUAAGUGUUAUUAAAUAUAGUUGAUUGUAUUCAGUCUAGAUUUAACAUCCUAGGUAAGCAUCCUUCAUCUCAAAAGUCCAGAAGUCUUGACUGGACGCUAAUACUGUUGAGUGCUAACAGCAUCACACAGGGAAAGCUGCACGCCUGGUCUCAUGCGACCAGUCACAGUCCAAGCACAGGCUCCGUACAGUGCUGCUGACCGUCACCUUCAGACUGUUAGGCACACAUGGAAAAUGGAUCUUACUGUUUUAUGUGCACCUCAUCUCCUCAAAGUAUGUCAUGUGAUAGAUAUAUGGAAAUAUUCCCAAAUUCCCAAAGAUCCGCAGUUUCACAUGCUUCUGGUCCUAAACAGUUUGGAGAGGAGAGCGUCAGCCUGCGUGUGAGAAGCCCCGUCCUCUCACAGGUGGUCUCAGUAGAGAAGAGAAGGUCAAAGGGUCUCGUGUUGAGUAAAAUCAAGUCAUUUCAUUGGUACUGGAAAUUGGUCCUCAGAGGAGACAAGGCUCUGGACGUUGACUACAACAGUAGUCUCUCUCAAGCCUCAGUUCACCUCCCAUGGUUUCAUUUACUAGCAGCCAAAUCUAGGCCAACAGACCCAGAAAUAAAUAAUUUGUAAGUUUUAAAUUGUACAGCAGGAUGAAAUGUUGUGUGUUCUACUCAGACAUGAAGCAUGCCCUUGUUGCUGUGCACACCACUACCAUCUACCAGUUCCUGAGUAGCCCCUCAGUUAUCUGUAUAGCUGUAUGGUGAAGUACCGUCCAUAGUUUUAGGUAUCCAUGGGGACCAAAGAACUUAACUGGUUAAACUGUUUAAGAUAAGUUAGAUUGUUAUCAUUCUUGUUGAAUUUAGAAAGAAAGAAGGAAGGAAGGAAGGAAGGAAGGAAGGAAGGAAGGAAGAGAGAAAAAGAAAGAAACCCAUGACAUCUGCUUCAUUUCUCAAGGGUGAUAUAAAAAGUAUGUUUUGUGGCCUGGAGAGAUGACUCAGCAGUUAAGAGCACUACUGCUCUUGCAGACAACCUGGAUUCAGUUCUCAGUACCCACAUGACAGCCUGCAAUUGCUUGUAACUCCAGUUCCAGGAGAGCAACACCUCCUGGUGUCUGCAGGCACUGAUGACAAGUUGUAGAUAGGCAUGCGUACAGGCAGAACACUUAAAUACUCAUAAAUACAUAGGAAAAUUUAAAAAUGAGGGCUCCAGUCGCAAGGAAAGAACAGUCUUGUGGCUUACUGUGCUGACUAGAGCAUACAUUCCCAGCUCAGCUUACUGCCUCAGAUGUCUCUGUAGUGACGUCAGAAGGGAGUCCCAGCGAUUCACACCAGCUUUGUAGAACAAAACACUUUAUUUUUCUGUUUUAUUUUACAUUGUUUUGUUGCUGUGCUGGACAUUGAACCCAGGGUCUUAAAACUUGCAAGGCAAACACUCUACUCUUGAAACUAUAUCCCCAGUCCCUUCAUUUUACAUUAUUUAUGUCUGAAUGAUGAACUUACCUGAAUAUUAAUUGAACAUAGUAUCUAUUUUCAGUGAAUGUGACUGCUUACAAAUUCUUCUAAGUGACAAACUAUCUCACGAUAAAACUGAAAGAAAUUCUCUUUUGACCUUGGUUUCUGUGUUAGUGUUAAGCAUGGUGGGAUGUUAAAUGUGUACAAGUAAGUAGGGUGGCCAGGGAGAGCAAGAAGAUCGAUUGUGUUUUUACUACAGAGUUGAGUAUGCUUCCAAAAGCUCAGAGCCUGAACUGCUCCCAAAUCACCAUUCAAAAAAACAAAAAACAAACAAACAAACAAACAAAACCACUUGAGUUUUUAGAACAUUUCUGUGUCUGGAGUUUUAGUUCAGGGAUCCUCAGCUGGCUGAGUCCACAGAAGCUCUCCGAAGGCUGAAUGAAUUCCAGAACUGGAAAUGUUCUUGGUCCUAAGUUCAAAUAAGGGAUCCUCAGCCCUGUGAGAACCACAUACACGAGGGUGCGUGCAGCUUUGAUGCCUCGGAAGAUAGGCUUUUGUCUUUUCUGUCAAUAAAAAAAGCAAAUGUCCUGACCAGUGAGGGGAAAAGUCUUCUAGAUGACUUUGUUUACAGCAUUAGAAACUAGAUGGGUUGUUUGGGUUCCUACCAAACUCAGAGGAAACCCCAAAUAUGAGAAAAUUGAGGAAGAAAAUAGAAUUAUUGUACAUAAUUAUUUUAUAUGAG
rnacentral:lncRNA from 1 species